rnacentral:rRNA from 1 species
UGGGGAAUUUUGGACAAUGGGCGAAAGCCUGAUCCAGCAAUGCCGCGUGUGUGAAGAAGGCCUUCGGGUUGUAAAGCACUUUUGUCCGGAAAGAAAUCCUUGGCUCUAAUACAGUCGGGGGAUGACGGUACCGGAAGAAUAAGCACCGGCUAACUACGUGCCAGCAGCCGCGGUAAUACGUAGGGUGCAAGCGUUAAUCGGAAUUACUGGGCAUAAAGCGUGCGCAGGCGGUUUGCUAAGACCGAUGUGAAAUCCCCGGGCUCAACCUGGGAACUGCAUUGGCGACUGGCAGGCUAGAGUAUGGCAGAGGGGGGUAGAAUUCCACGUGUAGCAGUGAAAUGCGUAGAGAUGUGGAGGAAUACCGAUGGCGAAGGCAGCCCCCUGGGCAAUACUGACGCUCAUGCACGAAAGCGUGGGGAGCAAACAGGAUUAGAUACCCUGGUAGUCCACGCCCUAAAACGAUGUCAACUAGUUGUUGGGGAUUCAUUUCCUAGUAACGUAGCUAACGCGUGAAGUUGACCGCCUGGGGAGUACGGUCGCAAGAUUAAAACUCAAAUGAAUUGACGGGGUCAUAGCUG